ensembl:snoRNA
AUCCUUCGGUUCAUAAACGUGAUGACUGGGUGUUCACACAAUUGUGUGAGAUGUGCCUCCCUCUGAACCUUGUUAAGACAUUGGCACAUUAACUGUCUGACA